rfam:Schistosoma rodhaini strain Burundi genome assembly, scaffold: SROB_scaffold0006330
AGCUUCUUGAAUCCGUGCUGAGAUUUCGUCAGACACCAUCCCAUUAAGGCUGAUCAGACUUCUCAGAUAAGUGACGUU